rnacentral:rRNA from 1 species
AUACGUAGGGAGCGAGCGUUGUCCGGAAUUACUGGGCGUAAAGGGCGCGUAGGCGGCGCUUCAAGUCGUCUGUCAAAUGGAAGGGCUUAACCCUUUUUCGCAGACGAAACUGGAGAGCUUGAGAAGCAGAGAGGCAAACGGAAUUCCUGGUGUAGCGGUGAAAUGCGUAGAUAUCAGGAAGAAUACCAGUGGCGAAGGCGGUUUGCUGGCUGCAUACUGACGCUGAAGCGCGAAAGCCAGGGGAGCGAACGGGAUUAGAUACCCCGGUAGUCCUGGCAGUAAACGAUGUAUGCUGGGUGUGAGACUAGCGAUAGUUUCGUGCCGAAGUUAACGCGAUAAGCAUACCGCCUGGGGAGUACGGUCGCAAGAUUGAAACUUAAAGGAAUUGACGGGG